UACUGGUCAUCUUGAGUUGUAUUGAAGUAGGCGGAAUAUGUAGUGUAGCGGUGAAAUGCAUAGAUAUUACAUAGAACACCAAUUGCGAAGGCAGCUUACUAAGUACUAACUGACGCUGAUGGACGAAAGCGUGGGUAGCGAACAGGAUUAGAUACCCUGGUAGUCCACGCCGUAAACGAUGGAUACUAGCUGUUCGGGGCCUUGAGCUCUGAGCGGCUAAGCGAAAGUGAUAAGUAUCCCACCUGGGGAGUACGUUCGCAAGAAUGAAACUCAAAGGAAUUGACGGGGGCCCGCACAAGCGGUGGAGCAUGUGGUUUAAUUCGAUGAUACGCGAGGAACCUUACCAGGGCUUAAAUGUAGUCUGACAGCUUUAGAGAUAGAGUUUUCUUCGGACAGAUUACAAGGUGCUGCAUGGUUGUCGUCAGCUCGUGCCGUGAGGUGUCAGGUUAAGUCCUAUAACGAGCGCAACCCCUGUCGUUAGUUGCCAGCAUGUCAUGAUGGGGACUCUAACGAGACUGCCGGUGCAAACCGCGAGGAAGGUGGGGAUGACGUCAAAUCAUCACGGCCCUUACGUCCUGGGCCACACACGUGCUACAAUGGCCGGUACAGAGAGCAGCCACGUCGCAAGGCGGGAGCGAAUCUAUAAAACCGGUCACAGUUUCGGGAUC
rnacentral:rRNA from 1 species